CAUACUUCUACCACCGCAGGUAAAUAGCUGUUUAAAACAGUAUAUUUAGAAACGUUUUUCUGUGUUUAGAUUUUGUUGAACAUUUUUAGAAAUUGGCUGCGUUUAUCUGGAGCUCAUAUACUUGGAUCUGCGAAUUUUUAUGCAGAUUCCUUUUUAUAUGUACCUUGGAUGAAAGAAUAUCAUGUCUGACAACAUCACAUUUUUCGUCAAGGGCCACGCAAACUCUACAUCGGAAGUACUGACAAUGAAUAAGAAUGACGAAUUUUUCACCGUGUUUCAACAUCUAGCUUCACGAUCAGGGGUGGAUUUAGAAACUAUUAGAAUCCUCAUCGGUGGAAAAGAAUAUCGAUUCGAUCAAGAAGAAGUGAGGAAGAAAAUAAAAGACGUUGGUAUUGAAAACAAACACACAAUAUUUAUGGUUGUAAGACUGAAAGGUGGAUAUGAAUAUUCACCAUCACAUUAUCAUUCUUGUCUGGUUACCCAACGAACAUUCAUUCGUUACCAGAACAAUGAAUGACAGUAUUUAUUAAUGAGAACUGAUUCCAAACAUCCCAUUAUUAAUUGUAUCAUUCAGAAUCGAAUUUUUCGGGUUGUGAAUUGUAUGUUUACUAAAACUGCGAUUAAGCAUUUUCAUGCAGAUGAACCAAAAUGGCGUCAUACAGAUCUAUCUAUCGAGGAAAAUCAACGGUACUUGUAACAUACAUGUCAGCAAGAGUGCUUUACUAAACAAGCGACUCCAUAAAAUCUUGGGAAGACGAUAUUGGUUUGAAAUCACCACCGCUAUUGUUGUGGAAAUGACAUCAGUUUAUUUAGUAAAUUCAAAAAUUUCAUGUGUGAUACUCGACAGAAAGGAUACCUUCAUGAUUAGCUCCAAAUUGCGAUUGAUCAAGGUCAGCUACAAAAUUGAAAAAUGUGUACCCCUUUCCCCUUUGUCUAACGUAAGAAAUACAAGACGGUCCAUCAAAUAGCCAUAUGCUGGAUCAAUUGGGGCACAAUUAAUAGCCACUGUAUGUAUGUCGUCAUAACAUGGCAUGAAAAAAUGGGUAUGGGACUAUCGUGAAAACAUCUGCAUUAACACCUUUGACUUAGAAUAAGUUGAUUGAUUUUCAAAUCAAUACAAUCGAUGUUGAAUUGUGUAAAGCCUCAUUAAAACGAUUCACACCCAUUGACUUAACUUGCAUGUUAUACAAAUGAAAACAUCCUUUUUUGUGUAUACUGAGGGUACACUAAUUACGUUGUUAGAUAAAUAAUUAUUAGGUACGCUCCACGAUCAGUUAUUUUAUUGCUGUACUAGUUUAUCAUGUUCUUUGUAUGCGUAUAUUUAAACACAUGUCACUCAUCUAUUAACUGUAUUUGACAAUAUAUGAUAUUUUGUUAUCUGAGAAUGUUCAUGUUCAAAUGAAAGGCAUUACCAAGUUUUACGUUGACAAUUCAUGUCAGCUUUAAUAUAAAUGUAUUUCCCAAAACAUGGUUUUAUUUGACUUCGUAUUAUCUCAUUGCUACCCUCUCAGUGUUGAUUCAAUACAAAAUAUUCAAAAUAUUUACCUAUCGAUAGAGUUUAUCAAGAUAUAGGAUUAUUUUUUUUUAUUUUACCACCUGUUGAACUCCUGUAAAUGUCAGAUUACAAAGUGUCAGGUGUUUUGUCAAAAUGAUUUUUAUCAACACUUGUUAUAAACGUUGUCGUUUUUAAAAAAAAUGAUGAAAAUGUAAAGUAAAUGUAUGUUUUCAUAAAAUGUAUUCAAUUUAUCGUAUGGAAUAUAUUUCAUUUCCGUCAUUAUGUCCCCCAACUAUCGGUCAGUCGAUCUGUAGACCAAGUCUUGCCAACUCGAUAUCUUAAAAACACUUCGCUUGAUAGACAUUACACUUGGUACAGCGGUACACCUGCAGAAAUACAUUACCCCAAUAUAUCUUGAGGCCAUGUGGACAAAGGUCAAUACACAUUUUAUAUAGGAAGAUAUUGUAUGUUCAAUAUUUGGAGAACCCUUACUUUGACAUAUAUCAAAGUUGGUACACUGGUACAUCGUCAGGAGUAGAUAAACUUUAUUGAUUUUGGAUUCACAUGGAUAAAUGAAACAAAAAUAACAUAUUUUGCAUUUUUGGAUUCCGUUAUUUAUUCAUUAUUUAUUAUUAUUUCCAUCAUUUAUAAUAUCCAUAAUUAGUUCCCAAAUAAUUUCUUUAAACGUUAUAACUAUUUUUGAACAAUUUUGAUUUAUUUACUCCUCUAUUCUAUCUUUUUAUUCUAUCUUUUAUCACAGUUUAACAUUAGUUAUACACAUUCACACACCCAGGUACGAACUACUUAUAAUUAGCAAACCUACAGUACAUGUACACUGAUUACUUAACCCGUUCUUUGCUUCUGAAGUAAUCUAGUUAAGUUCAUUUAGUUCAGUUCUCUUGACUUUCGUUCAUAAAGACGCUGAACUCGAUAAUUUGAACGUGUGGAGGUUUUGUUUGUUCUCAGGUUGUGCAGCUUAGUUUUUAUGCUAGUUUGUGUUAUUAUUUUAUUUAGUUAGUUUUCAUUUCUUAUAAAUUUAUUUUGUCGUCCUGAAGAGGGGAGAGGUCGUCCCGAAAACUUGGACAAUUUCAUAUUGUUUGUAUUGUUAUAUAUGAUUAUGUAAUUACAUCAUUAAUUAAAUAUGAAUCAUUUGUA